rnacentral:sRNA from 1 species
CUGCAGUGCUGCUUUUCUUGCCUAGACUCUAGGAACUAUCCGAGCUCCACUCCCCACAACAUACUCAAAGGAACGGAGAGAACCAGGACCCCCCUGCGGGGACCCGGAACUGAUCUGACAGGAUGGCAUCUGAUGACUUUGACAUAGUGAUUGAGGCCAUGCUGGAAGCUCCCUAUAAAAAAGAAGAGGAUGAGCAACAAAGGAAAGAAGUUAAAAAGGAUUAUCCUAGCAAUACCACCAGCAGCACCAGCAACAGUGGCAAUGAGACCAGUGGAAGCAGCACCAUCGGGGAGACAAGCAAGAAGAAGAGGAGUCGGAGCCAUAGUAAAAGCAGGGAUAGAAAGCGCAGUCGUAGUCGAGAUCGGGAUCGGUAUAGACGGAGAAAUAGUCGGAGCCGAAGUCGAGGUCGGCAGCGUCGUCACCGUAGCCGUAGCUGGGAUCGUCGACAUAGUAGUGAGUCGCGAAGUCGGGACCAUCGUCGUGAGGAUCGUGUGCAUUACAGGAGUCCUCCACUUGCCACUGGGUAUCACUUUUUGCUAAUAGAUUCACUUUUGUAUAAUAAUCUGGAUAAAACAACAAAUGCACUAUGAACCCUGCUUGAGGGUGCUUAUUAUAACACAUUGUGAUUGGCAGGAUACUCAGGCACAGAAAGGGUUGGUAUUCAAAAUUUACUGGCGUGGUGGCUCAUGC